AAAUUCGGUGAUGAUUGAGUUCUUUGUCUUAGACUUACAUGAACCUAAUUUUUAGGGAUGGUGAUUACUAAGAAAGAACAAAGUUGAUGUAGUUGAAUAUUAUCUGAUCAGAAUUUGGAGAUGCAGCACAAGCAGAUCAGAUUAUAGGGGCGCGGAUGGAGGCUAAUCAAACUAUAAUAAUCCUCUCCGGCUCCCAACGAGUAGGAGCUCCUAGAAAUUUUACAAAUUUCUUCCUGGUAAUUACAAUUUUUUCUUAUUGACAGAUAAGACAUGGAGUAUAAAAAAAAAAUGCCAAUUCCCAAAAUAGGCCUUCGUUUGCAUCUUGGCUUCCAACAAUCAAACUGAUAGUUUUUGGCAGAUUAUAUUAGUUGUAUAACUCUGUUGAUCUUGUUACUCAAAAUGUUUUCUGAGGGAGCUGAGCAGAAAAAGAAGGAAGAACGAAAGGAUCAUGCAAUAGAAUUUCGAGUCAUUGAAAAGAGGGAAGGAAUGGGGUCUGAUUUAGAGUUUGCAAACUUAAAAUCGAGAGUUGAUUCUUUAGGGGCAGCCAUGCAGGAGAUAGUAGCUGAAUAAAAGAAAAUGUCAAGUAUCUCCAAAACCAACGAUAAGAACAUAAGAAGAGAUUGCAGCUUUCAGAUGUUGGUUUGAAUGCCAAAAAAGCCACUGGUAACGACCCUACUAGGAUGAAGUUGGAAGAGCCAGCAUUGAACUCAGUUAUUGAAGCUGCUAAACAGAACCCAGAAGUAAAUGCCAGCGUUGGAGGCAUUACUUGAGAGUGUCUUUGGUUGAUUAAGUUGACUUACCCACCAUGGAUUUGCUUCUUGGGCUUUCACAGUCAAUAAAGUUUUGGACAACUCUGAGGAGUGAAUUAACUGUAAAUAAUGUUUCUCUGCUAUCAUCUCUCUUCCUCUCUUGAUUGCUUCUGUACAUAUGUAUGUGUAUAUAAAUAUUUCUUCUUCAUCAAA